GUGAGGAAUUUUCCGCAAUGGGCGAAAGCCUGACGGAGCAAUGCCGCGUGAAGGAUGAAGGCCUAUGGGUUGUAAACUUCUUUUCUUAGAGAAGAAUAUUGACGGUAUCUGAGGAAUAAGCAUCGGCCAACUCAGUGCCAGCAGCCGCGGUAAGACAGAGGAUGCAAGCGUUAUCCGGAAUUAUUGGGUGUAAAGCGGGUGCAGGUGGCUUGGUAAGUCAGAUGUGAAAGCCUGGGGCUUAACCCCAGAAGUGCAUUUGAUACUGCUGAGCUUGAGGGCUGGAGAGGCUAUUAGAAUUCCUGGUGUAGUGGUGAAAUACGUAGAUAUCAGGAGGAAUACCGGAGGCGAAGGCGGAUAGCUGGCCAGACACUGACACUCAGACCCGAAAGCGUGGGGAUCAAACAGGAUUAGAAACCCCUGUAGUCC
rnacentral:rRNA from 1 species